rnacentral:rRNA from 1 species
GAUGAACGCUGGCGGCGUGCCUAAUACAUGCAAGUCGAGCGAACAGACGAGGAGCUUGCUCCUCUGACGUUAGCGGCGGACGGGUGAGUAACACGUGGAUAACCUACCUAUAAGACUGGGAUAACUUCGGGAAACCGGAGCUAAUACCGGAUAAUAUAUUGAACCGCAUGGUUCAAUAGUGAAAGACGGUUUUGCUGUCACUUAUAGAUGGAUCCGCGCCGCAUUAGCUAGUUGGUAAGGUAACGGCUUACCAAGGCAACGAUGCGUAGCCGACCUGAGAGGGUGAUCGGCCACACGGGAACUGAGACACGGUCCAGACUCCUACGGGAGGCAGCAGUAGGGAAUCUUCCGCAAUGGGCGAAAGCCUGACGGAGCAACGCCGCGUGAGUGAUGAAGGUCUUCGGAUCGUAGAACUCUGUUAUUAGGGAAGAACAAAUGUGUAAGUAACUAUGCACGUCUUGACGGUACCUAAUCAGAAAGCCACGGCUAACUACGUG